CGGAGGAUCCAAGCGUUAUCCGGAAUCAUUGGGUUUAAAGGGUCCGUAGGCGGUUUGGUAAGUCAGUGGUGAAAGCCCAUCGCUCAACGGUGGAACGGCCAUUGAUACUGCCAGACUUGAAUUAUUAGGAAGUAACUAGAAUAUGUAGUGUAGCGGUGAAAUGCUUAGAUAUUACAUGGAAUACCAAUUGCGAAGGCAGGUUACUACUAAUGGAUUGACGCUGAUGGACGAAAGCGUGGGGAGCGAACAGGAUUAGAUACCCUGGUAGUCCACGCCGUAAACGAUGGAUACUAGCUGUUGGGAGCAAUCUCAGUGGCUAAGCGAAAGUGAUAAGUAUCCCACCUGGGGAGUACGUUCGCAAGAAUG
rnacentral:rRNA from 1 species